AGGGGCGGCUGACAGGGCUGGGAGGGGAGGACCUCCCCACCAUCGUCAUCGUAGCUCACUACGACGCCUUUGGGGUAGCUCCAUGGCUGUCACUGGGUGCAGACUCGAACGGGAGUGGCAUCUCUGUACUGCUGGAGCUGGCUCGCCUCUUCUCACGCCUCUACACGUACAAGCGCACUCAUGCAGCGUGAGUUCCGGGGGUGGGGGUGGGGGCUGGUC
rnacentral:lncRNA from 1 species